GGCCUUGCUCUUAUGUCAUCUGACUAAAGGUUUCAUAGACCAAAGAUAACCAUCCAACCUGUUGGAAUACUGAAACAAUUGCUGCCUGCUUUCCACAUACCACAUAAAAUAUGUGGAUAUCCUAAAUUCUGCAAAAAAAAAAAAAGAUUUGUAAGCUGAUCAAGCAAUACUGUGACUCCCUCUUCUCCAGAAGAGACAUCCUGGCCUCCAUGCAGAUGAAUGUGUGGAUGGACAUAUAUUUAAGGAAGACACUAAACCAGAAAAUACUACAUUGCACCCUCUUAAAAAACUUCUAAGAUUGUUGUCAUGACUACCACUGAAAUUCAGAUGAUGUGUAUUCUUGAUUGUGAUUUCAUGUUUGGAGCUGAUGAAGGAACCCAGGAGAAGAACAUAUGCCUGAGAAGAAGAACUAGUGUGGAACUGUCAGCCAGGUUUUUGGUGAGUGCUCAGACUGCUUCCUGAUCUGGCACCACAUUUACUACAGUGGACAGAUGCUCUAGUCUCUGAUAAGGAGUUGCUAGCUGUUAGGAAGUACCUGUAAUGGGCUCCACUGCAUGAGGUUUGAAGUCUCCAGAGCAGCAAGGAGAGUGGGGAGUAGAACUCAUCAUCUUUAUGUCACUCAUCACCG
rnacentral:lncRNA from 1 species